GGGGCCGUAGUGUAGUCUGGUCUAGCAUUCCCCUCUUCGGGUGGGAAGGCGCCGAAAUCACUCCAGCUCGGGGAGCUGGUAACUCGAGUUCAAAUCUCGGCGGCCCCA
rnacentral:tRNA from 1 species